AAAUAAGGCAGCGACACCAAUCCAAAACCAGUAACUUUCAGUAAAUAAACCAUGUUCUCUCAGUACGGCCUCACCUAGCGAUACAUUCUGCUUUCCAACUUUCUUAUCCCAAGAAUGCCCAAGAAACUCAUUGACCGAAGCAGCAUUCUGCGCAUACAUCAAUGGAGAUAUCCAGUAUCCCCAUAUCCACCAACUUGGUAUGCUAUCUCUCGAAAUAAUAUAUCCUCCAAGAAGCAUGACAAUCAACAUUGCAAAAGAUCCAAAGGUGUUGGCAACUAUCAUAUUCCUAGCCAAGGAUGCUAUCACACGGAAAAGAGCCAACGACAUUUGGUGCAAAAAGAAAAACAAUA
rnacentral:misc_RNA from 1 species